UUUGAAUGGAACAUCUCUUGCUAGUCUGGUAAAGGUUUAGAAACUUGGCCUUCUAAGUAUUCAUGUAAGUUCUGUUCUGGGACCUUCAUUGUAGGAACUGAAAAUGAAAGAACCAAAAUAGAUAUCAACAGAUAAUUAAAAGAACAUUUGGAAGUUUUUUACUUCAUGCAAACCUCAAACUCUGAACCACUGCCUAAAGGAAAUAAAUACUGUGUUAUGGAUUUUCUGUCUCUCUUAUUGAUUUUGAAAAAGUGAAGUGGCCAUGUUAGGAGGCCCAGAUGGUAAGGAGCUGAGGGAGGCCUCCAGGAAAUGGCCAGCAAGAAGCCAGCUCCCUCAGCCUUGUAGCUACAAGAAAAUGAAUUCUGCCAGCAAUCUGAGUGAACUUGGAAGCUGAUUCUUCCUCUGUCAAGCCUCCAGAUGAGAAUCUCAGUCACAGCCAACACCUUGACUGCAGUCCUUAGCAGAGGACUCUGCCAAGCUGUGCCAGGACUCCUGACCUGCAGAAAUUGUGAGUGUGGCUAUAUAACACCUAUCAGCAUUCACUGACAAUUAUUGCAGUCGGCCAAGGAUUUCAAAAUGGUUGAUAACAUAUAGCAUUUAUCACACAC
rnacentral:lncRNA from 1 species